UAUAUACUUCCUCCGUCCAACAAAGGAUGUCUCAACUUUGACUAAAUUUGAAUGCAUCUAUACACUAAGUCAUGUCUAAAUACAUCCAAAUUUUGACAAACUUGAGACAUCUUUUAUUGGACGGAGGGAGUAUGUU
rnacentral:pre_miRNA from 1 species